rnacentral:piRNA from 1 species
UGUUUUCACUUUAUCCUCGCU